GCUCAGAUUGAACGCUGGCGGCAUGCCUUACACAUGCAAGUCGAACGGUAACAGGUCUUCGGAUGCUGACGAGUGGCGAACGGGUGAGUAAUACAUCGGAACGUGCCCGAGAGUGGGGGAUAACGAAGCGAAAGCUUUGCUAAUACCGCAUACGAUCUCAGGAUGAAAGCAGGGGACCGCAAGGCCUUGCGCUCACGGAGCGGCCGAUGGCAGAUUAGGUAGUUGGUGGGAUAAAAGCUUACCAAGCCGACGAUCUGUAGCUGGUCUGAGAGGACGACCAGCCACACUGGGACUGAGACACGGCCCAGACUCCUACGGGAGGCAGCAGUGGGGAAUUUUGGACAAUGGGCGCAAGCCUGAUCCAGCCAUGCCGCGUGCAGGAUGAAGGCCUUCGGGUUGUAAACUGCUUUUGUACGGAACGAAAAGACUCUAGUUAAUACCUGGGGUCCAUGACGGUACCGUAAGAAUAAGCACCGGCUAACUACGUGCCAGCAGCCGCGGUAAUACGUAGGGUGCGAGCGUUAAUCGGAAUUACUGGGCGUAAAGCGUGCGCAGGCGGUUAUAUAAGACAGAUGUGAAAUCCCCGGGCUCAACCUGGGAACUGCAUUUGUGACUGUAUAGCUAGAGUACGGCAGAG
rnacentral:rRNA from 1 species